AAGAAGCUGAAGAAGAACCAAAGGUAAGUUCCACUGAACACCAAUGUUUUUAGUAAACCCCUGGCCACCAAUGUUUUUUUCAAAUAUUCAACGGGGCCCCCUGACCACCAGUGUUUUUACCUUAUAAGGGGGCCCUGACCACCAAUGUCUUUUUUAAAAACUUUUAUCUGAAGCCACAAAAGGAGCCGAAGCUGAAGACCUGAAGCUACGAAAGAAGCUGAAGAAGAACAUAAGGUAAGUCCCACUGAAUACCAAUGUUUUUAUUAAACCCCUGGCCACCAAUGUUUUUUUUUUAAAUAUUCAAUGGGGGCCCUGACCACCAAUGUUUCUCUUUAACUUAUAAGGAGGCCCUGACCGCCAAUGUUUUUAUUAAAAACUUUGAUUGGGGCCCUGUUCAAAUGAUCCAAAGCCACGAAAGGAGCCGAAGCUGAAGACUCGAGGCCACAAAAGGACCCAAAGCCGCGAAAGAAGCUGAAGAAGAACCAAAGGAGGCCCUGACCGCCAAUGUUUUUAUUAAAAACUUUGAUUGGGGCCCUGUUCAAAUGAUCCAAAGCCACGAAAGGAGCGGAAGCUGAAGACCCAAAGCCACAAAAGGACCCAAAGCCAUGAAAGAAGCUGAAGAAGAACCAAAGGUGAGGAGCGGCCACUGUGAUUCCUCUGCAGAGAGGGCCUGUGCCCACCAAGAGACCCUCAGUCAAUCAUCCAUCAUUGUUCUGAUCAGGACCAGACUGAGAAUCAAAAUUAGCCCUGGCAUUUCUGGAACACAGAGGCCCAAACAGCCCCCCAGUAGCCCAAUAAUUAGCGACUGUCUUACAGCUGCGCCUGGCGUUCCGAUGGAACCCCCUUAUGUUUGCCAUUCUUUAAGUUUGCCGGGCAGGGAGGCAUAAGAACAAAGUCCUAGGUCAGAAUUACUUUUAGAUUUUAAAGGGAAAAUUCGAUUGAUUGAUGAGUUUAGUUUCUACUGUCUAUACUUUUUUUUUGCAAAAAUGUAAAUUAAAACACAAGGCUCUGAACAA